ensembl:snoRNA
GCUGGGCUUCCUGAGUCACAUCCUGACACAGCUCUUGUCCUGGUGUGCUAGAGCCCUCAGAGAGAAUCUGCUGGCCUUGAGUCACUGGCGGGCAAUCAGUGCCCCCAGGGGUGCCCAGAUCAGAAACAUGC